rnacentral:tRNA from 1 species
CAGUAAGUAGUUUAAAUAAAAUAUUAAUUUUGGAGAUUAAUGAUAAGUAUAUGCUUGUUACUGA